GAUGAACGCUGGCGGCGUGCCUAAUACAUGCAAGUCGAGCGAACAGACGAGGAGCUUGCUCCUCUGACGUUAGCGGCGGACGGGUGAGUAACACGUGGAUAACCUACCUAUAAGACUGGGAUAACUUCGGGAAACCGGAGCUAAUACCGGAUAAUAUAUUGAACCGCAUGGUUCAAUAGUGAAAGACGGUUUUGCUGUCACUUAUAGAUGGAUCCGCGCCGCAUUAGCUAGUUGGUAAGGUAACGGCUUACCAAGGCAACGAUGCGUAGCCGACCUGAGAGGAUGAUCGGCCACACUGGAACUGAGACACGGUCCAGACUCCUACGGGAGGCAGCAGUAGGGAAUCUUCCGCAAUGGGCGAAAGCGUGACGGAGCAACGCCGCGUGAGUGAUGAAGGUCUUCGGAUCGUAAAACUCUGUUAUUAGGGAAGAACAAAUGUGUAAGUAACUAUGCACGUCUUGACGGUACCUAAUCAGAAAGCCACGGCUAACUACGUG
rnacentral:rRNA from 1 species